CAGCAUUUUUAACUAUAUCGCGCGAGCGUCGACCGCACGCUGUAUCAGCACCUUACAACGGCGACAAUCUGCGAGACCGGCAGUACACUCUAAGAAC
rnacentral:lncRNA from 1 species